ensembl:lncRNA
AUGGCACACAAGCGCCAGCUACUCUUAGCGGCGUCACAAAGUCGGCUCCCAAGCACAGACUCGGGAUGGGUCCUGGCCAGUCCGACACCCUCUGUCACUCUGAGAACAAGCUUGCUGGCCCCUGAGAGAUGCUGCAGUCCCUGGGCGAAGAUAGGCUCUGAGAGCAAUUUGGACUGUGUAGGACCCUGGCCUCACAGGGCCCCUCCUCUUUGCAUGACCGGCCUUAUGUCGCUCGUCCACCAGGGGAGAGAGAGGACACAGUUCUGGAGAAGUUACCGUGUUCCCUCGACACCCGAUUGGGGAACAUUCCUCAGAGCUCAGAGACACUUCCCAGCAGCUGGAGAAGUCUCAUGGACCACUGGAAACUCAGGAGAGUCGCUCGACUCUAUGGAAGACCCUAUUGAAUACGCAGAAAAUGGAAGUGGGAUGGUCCAAAUCCACAGAGACGAACUCCCGUGCCAUGUGUAGAAUCGUUGACUCAGUCCCUGAAAGAGGGCUAUUAAAGCAGGAAGCAGAAUAAUGGUUGCCAGGGGCUGGCCGUGGAGGAACCAUGUCAGCAACAAAAUGACAAGAGAGCAUGGAAAUGUACACAACUCACUGGGGGUGCUGAUUCCACAACCGUGCACAGGGCUCAAAACUCACCCACCUGUCCACCUGAAAGGGCUGCUUUUACUGAAAACAAUUACGUCUCAGUAAACUUGAAUAGAAAACAAAAGGAGCCUCAUCGUUUUCAUUCCUUUCCUGCAUGAGCAGCACUAAGUCCAGCGAGUCAGAUGGGUGAAGAUACGCACAAGCGAUUCUUUCAUUUUUACAUAAAAAAUCUGUGCUGUUGCUGUUUACAACAGCCAAGACACAGAAGCAACCUAAACAUCCACCAAGAGAGGAAUCAAUAAAGAAGAUGUGGUUCAUAUAUACAAUGGAAUAUUACUCAGCCGUGAAAAAGAAUCAUGCCAUCUGCAGCAACAUGGAUGGACCUAGAGAUGACCGUACUGAGUGAAGUAAGUCAGAGAAAGACAAAUACCAUAUGGUAUCACUUACAUGUGGAAUCUAAAAUAUGAUACAAGUGAAUCUAUGUACAAAACAGAAAUAGACUCACAGACAUAGAGAACACACUUAUGGUUAAAGGGGGAAGGGAGGGAUAAAUUAGGAGUUUGGAUUGACAUAUACACAGUACUGUACUUAUAAAAUAGAUAAACAACAAGGUCCUACUGCAGAGCACAGGGGAGUAUAUUCAAUAUCCUGUAACAACCUAAAUGGGAAAAGAAUUUGAAAAAGGAACAGAUACAUGAGGGACUUACUUCCCUGGUGGCGCAGUGGAUAAGAAUCUGCCUGCCAAUGCAGGGGACACGGGUUCGAGCCCUGGUCCGGGAAGAUCCCACAUGCCUCGGAGCAACUAAGCCCGUGUGCCGCAACUACUGAGCCUGCGCGCCACAACUACUGAGCCCACGUGCUGCCACUAUUGAAGCCCAUGCACCUAGAGCCCAUGCACUGCAAUGAAGAGUAGCCCCGCUCGCGGCAACUACAGAAAGCCCGUGCGUAGCAACAAGGACCCAACACAGCCAAAAAUAAAUAAAAUUAAAUCUUACAAAAAAAAAAAAAAGGGAUACAUGAAUAGGUAUAACUGAAUCACUUUGCUGUACACCUGAAGAUAACAACACUAUAAAUCAACUAUACUACAGUAUAAAAUAUAUGUAUAUAUAUAUAUAUAUAUAUAUAUAUAUACAUACAUUUUUUUUUUUUUUUUUGCGGUAUGCACUGUUGCCGCCUCUCCUGUUGCGGAGCACAGGCUCCAGACGUGCAGGCUCAGUGGCCAUGGCUCACGGGCCCAGCCGCUCCACAGCAUGUGGGAUCUUCCCGGACUGGGGCACGAACCCAUGUCCCCUGCAUUGGCAGGCGGACUCUCAACCACUGCGCCACCAGGGAAGCCCCUAAAAUAUAUAUAUUUUUAAUUGUAAUUUUCAUGUAAAAAAAAAAGUGUGCGUUUAAGGCACUGUCCAAAUGAACAACUCUCCUUGAGGAUUUUGUCUGCAUUCACGCUUUCUUUUGAGACAGUAUCUGGGGGUGGGAUGCUUUGUCAUCCUACCUGUGGCCCUGCUCCCGAUGACACUGCUGUACACGAAAAAUCGGUAAAAACACACCCCUUAUCUUUCAUCGUCUGUUUCGGCCUCGUUGCCUAUGGAAAAGACCCCUAGAUAAAACGAAAAAAAAGAAAGCAAGCAUUAAAGUAUGGAACUGCACCACUAGCAAUGUGUUCCUACCAUCCGGGCAGGCGUCCAGCAGAGGCAGGUGGUGGGCAAUGUAAACCAGAGUCCUGCCCACCAGCCGUGACGCUCAGCACGGCCACUGGGGUACAGCUGAUGGUCGUGACGAGCAGGGCAGCCCUGUGGGAAGGGCAGGGGGGCAGACCGAGGGGGAGGCCGGCAGUGUCCGCAUUCCACAGCUGCCUGAGAAGCAGCGUGCCCGUCACCACAUCUGGAAUCUGCAGGCACAGUUUCUAGAGGGAAACCUGUACAACUGAACCACAGGUGAGGACCGACAUCCCAACAGAAUCCCCUGAGUCCCAGAUAGACAGGGUGGCACAGCUGGACCCACAGAGGACCCUCCCACCGCCCUGAAAACUACCUUCCACAGCUUUAGUUUUAAAUCGUGGACUCACCCGAGUGCCCCCAGCUGUGUGGUUGUGCCUGGCUGAGAGAUGACUUGACUUUUACCCUGUGCCAUGUUCCCAGGGAGUCCUUCUGGAGACCCCGUUACAGACUGUUUACAACAGCUGAGACGUGGAAGCAACCUAAGUGCCCAUCCACAGAGGAACGGAUAAAGAAGAUGUGCUACCUAUACAUACAGUGGAAUAUGACUCAGCCAUGAAAAAGAAUGAAAUCAUGCCAUUGGCAGCAACAUGGGUGGACCUAGAGAUGAUCAUACUGAGUGAAGUAAGACAGAGAAAGACAAAUACCAUAUGAUAUCGCUUAUAUGUGGAAUCAAAAAAAGAUACAAAUGAACUUAUGUACAAAACAGAAACAGACUCACAGACAUAGAGAUCAGCCUAGAGGGAGCGGGGUGAGGGAGGGAAGAAUUGGGAGUGUGGGAUUAGCAGAUGCAAACUAGUUUAUAUAGGAUACACACACAACGAGGUCCUACUGUACAGCAUAGAAAACUCUACUCGAUAUACUGUAAUAAACUAUACUGGAAAAGAAACAAAAAAACCCCACCUUUCUUCCCUGACCUAUAGACAGUGCACUGGCUGGUCUCUUCCUCCCCCCGCCCCACCCUCUCUCCCUGGCUCACUCCAUUCCAGUGUCCUUCCUGCUCUUCCAGUUAACCACGUAUGUUCAUCCUCAGGGUCUACACCCUUGUGGUCCCCUCCUCCUGGAAUUUUCCCCCAGACAUCCCCAUGGCUUCCCCUCUUACCUCCUUCAGAUUUGCCAAAAGUCAACUUCACAGGCAGACUGAUUCUGACCACGUUCAUGGCCAUCUGCAGUCUCCCUCCCAUCCUCGUUGCGGAUUUAUUCUCCAUUCUGCUUGUUACCUUUCUGAUACUCUAAGGGUUACUUUUACCUUAUAGGCUCUUUGAGUUGAUGCUUUUGUCUGUCUUGAUCACUGCUGUGUCCCAGCACCUAGAAGCCUGCCAGUGUGAUGGUCUCUUCUUGCUUGAAAUCUUGAACUAAAAUAACGAUUGAGGAAACACCCAGUACACACGUCCGUGCUGCAAACAGCUGAGUGAUAAAGACAGAAAAAUACAGAUAAGAAUUCCGCUGAUGUGCUCAGGAAAGUCCAUUAGACCUGUUCUGGCACCACUGUGUGUGUGAUCAAGCGACUGAAAGGGCCGUGGGACUCUGGGGCAAAUGUGGAAGAACUCCGGUGACAGGAGGAUGCUUCUGUGAACACAGAAGACGCGUAGAAGGUAAAGCUGGAGAGAAGAUUGGGAAGCGGGUCAUAUAAAACCUUGGAGGCUGUGCUGAAGACUUAGAUUAUAUUCGACCUGCAAUAUUUUAUCCUGGGAUAUUCUACCUAUAUAACAGAACAUGCACAAAUGACCUUUUUUCGUUUGUUUGUUUUGUUUUGCGGUACGCAGGCCUCUCAGUGUUGUGGCCUCUCCCGUUGCCGAGCACAGCCUCCCGACGCACAGGCUCAGCGGCCAUGGCUCACGGGCCCAGCCCCUCCACGGCAUGUGGGAUCUUCCCGGACCGGGGCAUGAACCCGUGUCCCCUGCAUCGGCAGGCGGACUCUCAACCACUGCGCCACCAGGGAAGCCCGACCUAUUUUCAUUUAUAUAAGAUACUCUGGCUUUUAUGAGAGCAGUGGACAAAGAGGGACACUGUGUUAUCUGCUAGGACUGUCGUCAUAGAGGACCACAGAUGGGCGGCUUCAACACAGAAAUGUAUUUUCUCACGGUCCUGGAGCCUGGAAGCCUAGGAUUCAAGAGCCAGCAGGGUUGGCUGCUGGUGAGAUUUCUCUUCCUGGCUCAUAGACGGCUGUCUUCUUGCUGUGUCCUCCCAUGGAGGAGAGAGAGGGGGAGAGAGAGAGGGGG